rnacentral:rRNA from 1 species
UACGUAGGUGGCGAGCGUUGUCCGGAUUUACUGGGCGUAAAGAGCGCGCAGGCGGUCGUGCAAGUCGGAUGUGAAAGCCCCCGGCUCAACUGGGGAGGGUCAUUCGAUACUGCUCGACUCGAAGGCGGGAGAGGGAAGUGGAAUUCCCGGUGUAGUGGUGAAAUGCGUAGAUAUCGGGAGGAACACCAGUGGCGAAGGCGACUUCCUGGCCCGUUCUUGACGCUGAGGCGCGAAAGCUAGGGGAGCAAAC